rnacentral:rRNA from 1 species
GUGAGGAAUAUUGCACAAUGGGCGCAAGCCUGAUGCAGCAACGCCGCGUGCGGGACGAAGGCCUUCGGGUCGUAAACCGCUUUUCUGGGGAAAGAGCAAGGACGGUACCUCAGGAAUAAGUCUCGGCUAACUACGUGCCAGCAGCCGCGGUAAAACGUAGGAGGCGAGCGUUAUCCGGAUUUACUGGGCGUAAAGCGCACGCAGGCGGCUCCGUGAGUCGGACGUGAAAGCUCUCGGCUUAACCGGGAGAGGCCGUUCGAUACUGCGGGGCUUGAGGUAGGGAGAGGAAUGCGGAAUUCCCGGUGUAGUGGUGGAAUGCGUAGAUAUCGGGAGGAACACCUGUGGCGAAAGCGGCAUUCUGGCCCUCACCUGACGCUGAGGUGCGAAAGCGUGGGUAGCAAACAGGAUUAGAAACCCUAGUAGUCC